rnacentral:sRNA from 1 species
GUUUAAUUGAUCUUAAAAACCUAUUAUCAAUUUGGCGCCAUUGCCAAUUGGGUGUUUGUUUGUUACAUUUGAGAUUUCAGACUUGCUUAGAUCAAGUUCUUUUUCAAUUUUCUUUUCGGUUACUAACUGUUGGUUUUUCUUGUUGUCGUCUUGAUCCAGGUACACCUCUGCUGUAUGCAAACUCGAUCAACAGGCAAUCAGAACCUCUUUUUCAAUGACAACAUCGACCGCAUCGCUCGCGAACUCAGAGAAAGGAGAAACACAUUCAACCCUGUACCUCAGCAACCACUCGAUAUGGCUGACGAACAGAAUCAACAAAAUGGCCCUGCCAACAUUGGCGCUGGAGAUGCACCACGUGAUCACCGUCUGAGGAAAGGAAUUGCACCUCCUGUUAUCUAGAACAACAACUUCGAGAUUAAGAGUGGUCUCAUCUCGAUGAUUCAGGGGAACAAAUUCCAUGGUCUGCCAAUGGAGGAUCCACUCGACCACCUUGAUGAAUUCGAUAGGCUCUGCAACCUAUCAAAGAUCAAUGGUGUCAGUGAAGACGGAUACAAGCUUCAUUUGUUCCCAUUCUCCUUGGGCGACAAAGCACACAUCUGGGAGAAGAAUCUGCCCCAUGACUCAAUCACCACAUGGGAUGAUUGCAAGAAGGCUUUUCUAUCAAAGUUCUUCUCCAAUACUAGAACUGCAAGACUCAGAAAUGAGAUUUCUUGUUUCUCACAGAAGAAUGGUGAAAGCUUCUGUGAAGCAUGGGAGCGUUUCAAGGGUUACACCAACCAAUGCCCUCAUCAUGGCUUUACUAAAGCCUCUCUGCUCAGCACUCUUUACAGAGAAGUCCACCCACGCAUCAGAAUGCUUCUGGAUACCGCCAACAAUGGGAAUUUCCAGAACAAGAAUGUUGAAGAAGGCUGAGAAUUGGUUGAGAACCUUGCUCAAUCAGAUGGCAAUUACAACGAGGACUGUGAUAGGACCGUCAGAGGAACAACUGACUCUGAUGACAAACACAGGAAGGAGAUCAAAGCGCUGAAUGACAAGCUGGACAGGAUUCUUCUUAGCCAGCAGAAGCAUGUGCACUUCCUUGUUGAUGACGAGCAGUUUCAAGUCCAAGAUGGGGAGGGUAACCAGUUGGAAGUAGUCAGCUACAUCAACAACAACCAGGGUGGCUACAAAGGAUACAACAACUUCAAAACCAACAACCCCAACCUCUCCUACCGCAGCACCAACGUUGCUAAUCCUCAGGAUCAAGUGUAUCCUCCACAGCAACAACAAGGUCAGAACAAACCUUUUGUUCCCUACAACCAAGGUUUCGUUCCUAAGCAGCAAUUUCAGGGGAACUACCAGCCGCCACCACCACCUGGGUUUGCAUAUCAGCUAAACCAAGGUCCUGCUGCUCCUGAGGCUGAUAUGAAACAAAUGAUACAACAGCUGCUUCACGGACAAGCCUCUGGCUCCAUGGAGAUGGCAAAAAAGAUAUCUGAGUUACAUAACAAGCUAGACUGUAGCUACAAUGAUCUCAAUGUCAAGAUGGAAACACUGAAUACCAAAGUCCGAUACUUAGAGGGACAUUCUGCAUCUUCUUCAGCUCCAAAACAGACAAGCCAACUACCAGGCAAAGCAGUUCAGAAUCCAAAAGAAUAUGCUCAUGCUAUCACACUGCGUAGUGGAAAAGCACUUCCAACUAGGGAGGAACCAAAGACGGUCACUGAGGACAGUGAAGAUCAAGAUGGGGAGGAUUUAAGUCUCGAGAAAGAUCAAGCUGACAAACCACUCGAGCAAUCACUCGACCAGUCACUCGAGCAACCACUCGACCUAUCACUCGAGCAACCACUCGAUCUGCCACUCGACAACGUUACUCGACCAACAACUCGACCUAUCUUCCCAGCAGCAUCACCAACUGCUCCAAAACCAGUUGCUGUCAAAAACAAAGAAAAAGUCUUUAUCCCUCCUCCCUACAAACCGCAGCUUUCAUUUCCUGGCCGUCACAAGAAAGCGUUGGCAGAUAAAUAUAGAGCUAUGUUUGCCAAGAAUAUUAAGGAGGUUGAGUUGCGAAUACCUCUUGUUGACGCUCUAGCGCUAAUCCCAGACUCUCACAAGUUUCUGAAAGACUUGAUCGUGGAGAGAAUUCAAGAAGUGUAAGGGAUGGUGGUAUUGAGUCAUGAAUGCAGUGCUAUCAUACAGAAGAAGAUCAUUCCUAAGAAGCUUAGUGAUCCUGGUUCAUUCACUCUACCAUGCUCUUUAGGUCCAUUGGCUUUCAAUAAAUGCCUAUGCGAUUUAGGAGCAUCAGUCAGUCUCAUGCCGGUCUCUGUCACCAAAAGAUUGGGGUACACUCAAUACAAGUCCUGCAAUAUAUCCCGCAUCCUAGCUGACAGAUCAGUAAGGAUCCCUCAUGGUUUGCUCGAAAACCUCCCAAUCAGGAUCGGUGCUGUGGAGAUACCAACUGGCUUUGUAGUCCUGGAGAUGGAUGAAGAGCCCAAGGACCCUUUGAUUCUAGGGAGACCUUUCUUUCAAGAAAGGGAAGAUUGAUCUAAACCUUGGCAAAGACUUUAGGAUAACCUUUGAUGUCAAAGACGCGAUGAAGAAGCCAACCAUAGAAGGGCAACUCUUUUGGAUCGAAGAAAUGGAUCAGUUAGCCGAUGAAUUACUGGAAGAGCUGGCAGAAGAAGAUCAUCUUAACAGUGCUUUAACCAAAAGUGAUGAAGACGGGUUUCUACAUUUGGAAACAUUGGGAUACCAGAAGCUGUUAGACUCCCAUAAAGCGAUGGAAGAAUCAGAACCCUUUGAGGAAUUGAAUGGACCAGCAACGAAGGUAAUGGUAAUGAGCGAAGAAGGGUCAACUCGAGUUCAACCUGCACUCUCGAGGAUGUACUCGACCAGCCACUCGACCUUGUCUGCCAACGAAUCUGGGGAGCCGAUCAUUCCAACUUCAGAUGACUGGUCUGAACUUAAGGCACUGAAGGUUGAUCUCAAACCACUUCCUAAAGGUCUAAGGUACGCAUUCCUUGGUCCAAACUCUACUUACCCUGUGAUCAUUAAUGCUGAGUUAAAUAGUGAUGAAGUGAACCUGCUAUUAUCUGAGCUUAGAAAGUAUAGGAGAGCGAUUGGUUAUUCAUUAUCCGACAUUAAGGGAAUUUUACCUAGUCUAUGCAACCAUAGGAUCCAUCUUGAAAACGAAUCCUAUUCUAGCAUUGAACCACAGAGGAGGUUAAAUCCCAAUUUGAAAGAAGUAGUGAAAAAAGAAAUUUUGAAACUGCUUGAUGCUGGUGUCAUCUACCCUAUCUCUGAUAGUACAUGGGUUUCUCUAGUGCAUUGCGUCCCUAAAAAGGGUGGAAUGACUGUUGUCAAAAAUGAAAAGGAUGAACUGAUCCCUACUAGAACUAUAACUGGUCAUAGAAUGUGCAUUGAUUAUAGGAAGUUGAAUGCUGCAUCUAGGAAAGAUCAUUUUUCUUUACCAUUCAUUGACCAAAUGCUUGAACGUUUAGCUAAUCAUCCAUACUAUUGCUUUCUUGAUGGAUACAGUGGUUUCUUUCAAAUACCAAUUCACCUUAAUGAUCAAGAAAAAACCACUUUCACAUGUCCUGAUGGAACUUUUGCUUAUAAGAGAAUGUCAUUUGGUUUAUGCAAUGCUCCUGCAACAUUUCAGAGGUGUAUGACCUCUAUAUUUUCAGACUUAAUCGAGGAGAUGGUGGAGGUUUUCGUGGAUGAUUUUUCGGUCUAUGGCCCCUCUUUCUCCUCAUGUUUGUUGAAUCUUGGCAGGGUAUUGACCAGGUGCGAAGAGACUAAUCUUGUUCUCAAUUGGGAAAAGUGUCAUUUCAUGGUGAAGGAAGGCAUAGUGUUGGGUCACAAGAUAUCAGAGAAGGGUAUAGAGGUUAACAAAGGAAAAGUUGAAGUGAUGAUGCAGUUGCAGCCACCAAAAACGGUGAAGGACAUCAUAAGUUUCCUUGGUCAUGCUGGGUUCUACAGAAGAUUUAUUAAAGACUUCUCCAAGAUAGCCAGGCCGUUAACCAGGCUAUUGUGCAAG